GGAUCCGUUGCCCGGCCGCGGUCCGCAGCGCCGGUGACCCUCGCUCACUGAGCGAACAGCACCGCGGGGUUCAGGUAACCCCGCGGAUCCA
rnacentral:tRNA from 1 species